ensembl:lncRNA
CAGCAGAAGGAUUAGGGUGGUUGUCUAGCAGUGCCACUGCGGUCGUUGUAUACGAGUCGCCAGCAGAUGGAGCUAAUGGACCGUAGAAUAUGUUGAACAACUUGAUGUUGCACCCUGCGUGAAACCAGCCAGUCGCACUAAUUUAGGACUUGACGAAAGUUAAACUCGCUGGUUUAAUGUGGUUCAUUCGUUUUUGGAUGAUGCAAAACAUCGAACAAGACACGUGUGACUCAAGAUUGCAAUGACUGUACUUCGGUGGUGGCUGGUGUCGACCGAGGCAGCGGGUCAAGAUAUCCUGGUCAUCCCCCCGUCCCUCAGACAGAGGCCUCUCACCACGGGGAGUUUUUGGUUGUGUGUAUCGUUGUGAUGGAAGGCUCUCAGUGUCGGUGUCAGAGGAGGCUGAGGAGUCAACUGGCCCCAUUAGUUGAGAUUAGGAUGUUGGUG